AUGCUUGCUAUGGCACACAUAUAUACUAAAAUUGGAACGAUACAGAGAAGAUGAAUAUGGCCCUUGCACAAGGAUGACAUGCAAAUUCGUGAGGUGUUCCAUUUUUUU